ACGAGGAGGCUUACCUAUGAUGCCCGUGCAAUUGAAAUGUUUGCAGGCCAGCCUAUGAUGUCAAGUUGGAGGCUUACUUAUGAUGUUUGGUUGUUGUACACGGAAAUUUUGUGGGAUUUGCUACACAUUCAGAUUACUGCAAAUGUCAUAAUUGCAAAUACCUUUAGAGGCAUGCCAUGUAAUUGCAAUACUUAUCAAUAAUAAAGUCUUAUAUAUUUUGUCAUUUUCAGGUCCUUCGAUCGGUCUAUUCUGUGACAAAGGUCCCAUUCAUCUCUGGCAAAUUCCGCUACAACCUCAAUUGUACGUGUGCUUCAAUCUAUUUUCGUGUUGUUUUCUUGGGCCUUAGUGUUUUGUUUCUUGGUUGUUUGAUGAACCAUCACAAUUAAGCCCCUGUUAACAAUUUCAAAGGUGUAGCUUGGUCUGCAGCUCAUGUGAGCAGAACUGAAGCACGCUUUAGUCUAUCCAUGAGAAGUUGUUGUCGUCCUCCUCGCUGCCACCGCCAGAGCCGAAACUUGGUGGUAAGCCUCUUCUCCCCCUCCGAGUUCUUCCGCUUUGCUUUGGACGAUAUAUGUUCAUGUCAUUAUUGUUCAUUAAUAUCUUCUAUUGUUCUAGCUGAUAAUCUUGACUUUUCCGGUGUUCAUGGAGGUAGCUAAGGUAUACCUAUUAUGUAGUCGACGAGGAGGCUUACCUAUGAUGCCCGUGCAAUUGAAAUGUUUGUAGGCCAGCCUGUGAUGUUAAGUUGGAGGCUUACUUAUGAUGUUAGGUUGUUGUACACGGAAAUUUUGUGGGAUAGUUUGCAGAUUGGGAGUUAUGUUUUUUUGGUUGGUUUUUUAGAUUGUUGUAGUUAAAAUAUGAGAUGGAAGGCACACAUUGAAUACCGAGCUAUGUUACAAAUUUAUAGAUGGCCAGUCUAUAGAUUAUAGGUAUGAGUGGACUAAGUGAGAAAAUACAUGAUUGUAGGUUGCUAAUUAUGCGUCUGUGUUCAUGUGUGCGUGUUGUUAUUACUGGAAGAGGUGGAUUAGGGUGCACUGUUGAAGCAUUUUGAUUGCCCCGAGAGAAAUGAGUACACUGCAACAAACAACGGUUUGCUUACUAACCUCAUAAAUAUUUCAAGUGUAAGUCUCUAACUACAUGAAUAUUGGUGUGCAUGGAGCAUUUUAUUUCAAGUGUAAGUCUCUAACUAUUCAGCAUUCACAACAUGGAGCAUUUUAUGGAUUAUGAUUCUCCGAGUACAGCUACAUUUAGUUCCCACUACUUGUAACAACCAGGCUGGACUGUUUUGUGUUGACUGCUGUCAAAUACAUGAACCUGAAUGCUCAUAUAUGCUUUGUAUUUAAUGUAUACUUGUGUAGAAAAAUAAAGUGGGUCUUCAACUGUUCAAGACAGUUAUGGCUAAUGCUAGCUUCAAAAUGAGUCCCAGGCUUAACUGUUAAUGUGCAAGCAAAAUAGUAAUAAUUACUCAUGCACUUAGAGUAAUCUAUUCU
rnacentral:lncRNA from 1 species